rnacentral:piRNA from 1 species
UAAUCCCUAAUGUUGAAGCGGGUGAC